GGCAAGAACAUGCUAGACCAGCUAAAGGGCUUCUAGCUUGUGAUAUUGUGAAGGAAAUGGCGGGGAGGAGGCAAUGUUAAAAAUCAAGAAAAUUUCUAAGAUUUGUGGUUUUCAGUUGCCGCCUGGUGGUAGGUUACAACCUGAGUUUUGGAGGAAGUUGCUUGUGGACAAGGAAGGGUGGUUGUCAGAUAAUGGGUUAACCAAAGCAGUAGAGGCUUGGUAUCGGGUUGCUAGAGGACUUAAGCGGAAGGGUUGGACGGAGGAAGAGCUAGAGUUUGAGGGACAAACGCUUUAUGUGUACCAUCGAAAUGAUUGUAAUACUAAUGUUUCCCCUGACCAUUCCCG